rnacentral:rRNA from 1 species
AGAGUUUGAUCCUGGCUCAGGAUGAACGCUAGCGGCAGGCUUAACACAUGCAAGUCGAGGGGCAGCGCGGGGCGGCAACGUCCUGGCGGCGACCGGCGGAAGGGUGCGUAACGCGUGAGCGACAUGCCCGUUGCCCGGGGACAACCGGUGGAAACGCCGACUAAUCCCCGAUGGGACGGAGGCCCUCAUGGGUCUCCGUUGAAAGUUACGGCGGCGACGGAUUGGCUCGCGUCCGAUUAGCUAGUUGGCGGGGUAACGGCCCACCAAGGCUACGAUCGGUAGGGGUUCUGAGAGGAAGGUCCCCCACAAUGGAACUGAGACACGGUCCAUACUCCUACGGGAGGCAGCAGUGAGGAAUAUUGGUCAAUGGGCGGAAGCCUGAACCAGCCAUGCCGCGUGCGGGAAGGAGGCCCUAUGGGCUGUGAACCGCUUUUGCCUGGGGGCAAUAAGGGCGUCGCGCACGUCCGAUGAGAGUACCAGGGGAAUAAGCAUCGGCUAACUCCGUGCCAGCAGCCGCGGUAAUACGGGGGAUGCGAGCGUUAUCCGGAUUCAUUGGGUUUAAAGGGUGCGUAGGCUGUGCGUCAAGUCAGGGGUGAAAUUCCGGGGCUCAACUCCGGGGCUGCCCUUGAUACUGUCGCGCUGGAGUGCGGAUGCCGCCGGAGGAAUGAGUGGUGUAGCGGUGAAAUGCUUAGAUAUCACUCAGAACACCGAUUGCGAAGGCAUCUGGCGAAUCCGUAACUGACGCUGAGGCACGAAAGCGUGGGGAUAGAACAGGAUUAGAUACCCUGGUAUUCCACGCCGUAAACGAUGAUGGCUAACCGCCGGCGACACACUGUCGGUGGCCAAGCGAAAGCGAUAAGCCAUCCACCUGGGGAGUACGUCGGCAACGAUGAAACUCAAAGGAAUUGACGGGGGCCCGCACAAGCGGAGGAACAUGUG